UACGUAGGGUGCAAGCGUUGUUCGGAAUUACUGGGCGUAAAGCGCACGUAGGCGGCUUUGUAAGUUAGAGGUGAAAGCCUGGGGCUCAACUCCAGAAUUGCCUUUAAGACUGCAUCGCUUGAACGUCGGAGAGGUGAGUGGAAUUCCGAGUGUAGAGGUGAAAUUCGUAGAUAUUCGGAAGAACACCAGUGGCGAAGGCGGCUCACUGGACGACUGUUGACGCUGAGGUGCGAAAGCGUGGGGAGCAAACAGG
rnacentral:rRNA from 1 species